rnacentral:lncRNA from 1 species
GCUGGGGGCAAUUGAGAAAAAGCAGACACAGAAGAGUUCUGCUGUCCCCCUCUGCCUUAAAGCAGGGCAUAAACUUCCCCUCGUGAAGGUGUUAAAAGCAAAACUUUAGUUAUUGUUAAAUAUAAACCAUUAGCAAAGGUAAAUGUUUGUUACUAUAUGUACUGGGUUAAUUGGUGGCCCACAACAAAAUAUAUGUCUACCCAGAACCUAUAGAGGUGACCGUAUUUGGGGAAAGGGUCUUUGCAGAUGUAAUUAAGAAUCUCAAGAUGAGAUCAUCGUAGAUUAGGGUGGUCCUAAGUGCAAAGACAAUGUCCUUAUAAGAAGAGGAGAAAACACAGACACAGAGAACGAGGCCAUUGAAGACCAAGAGAAAGACAGAAAUGGUGCUGCCACAAGCCAAAAAUCACCUGGAGCCACCAGAGGCUGGAAGAUGCAGGGAAGGACCUUCCUCCAGCACCUGUAGAGGAAGCGUGGCCCUGC